GACGAACGCUGGCGGCGUGCUUCAUACAUGCAAGUCGAACGAGAAUCGGUAGCCUGCUAUCGAGGAAAGUGGCGGACGGGUGAGUAAUAUGUAGAGAAUCUGCCCUAGAGUGGGGGACAAUAGUUGGAAACGACUGCUAAUACCCCAUAUGAGCGUACCUGCAAUGGUAUUCUUGAAAACUCCGGUGCUCUAGGAUGAGUCUGCAUCUGAUUAGCUAGUUGGGGGUGUAAUGGACCACCAAGGCGACGAUCAGUAGCCGGACUGAGAGGUUGAACGGCCACAUUGGGACUGAGACACGGCCCAG
rnacentral:rRNA from 1 species